AGAGUUUGAUUCUGGCUCAGGAUGAACGCUGGCGGCGUGCCUAAUACAUGCAAGUCGAACGCAUUACUCGGUAGUGAGUGGCGAACGGGUGAGUAACACGUAGGUAACUUACCUCUAAGACGAGGAUAACGACUGGAAACGGUCGCUAAAACUGGAUAGGAUCAUUUGAGGCAUCUCGAAUGAUUUAAAGGGGCUUUCAAGCCACACUUAGAGAAAGGCCUGCGGCGCAUUAGCUAGUUGGUGGGUAGAGGCCUACCAAGGCGAUGAUGCGUAGCCGGACUGAGAGGUCGAACGGCCACAUUGGGACUGAGACACGGCCCAAACUCCUACGGGAGGCAGCAGUAGGGAAUUUUCGGCAAUGGGGGAAACCCUGACCGAGCAACGCCGCGUGAAUGAAGACGUAUUUCGGAAUCGUAAAACUCUGUUGUCAGAGAAGAACAAGUUGGAGAGUAACUGCUCCAGCCUUGACGGUAUCUGACCAGAAAGCCACGGCUAACUACGUGCCAGCAGCUGC
rnacentral:rRNA from 1 species